AGUCAGACAAGCUAUCGCCUCCUUUCGUGGCAGCAGGUUUUCGCACAGAAAAGCUUCCGUUUCUCUCGAACAUUUCUUGCUCUGGAAUGACGACGAGACGGGCGCUAGAAUGUGGUUGGGGACCGUGGAGGCGCUUUGGGUUUUCGCGGAUCUUUUGUGAUUCUCGUGACUUCAAGUGCAUGCUGCGCCGUCCGUCAUCUCGUGACGUCUCGGUGCCCGGAACAGCUCUGUUUUCCGGGCACUGGCGACAUAGGCGAGAGAAGUUUAUUUUUCUCCUAACCGACGCCGCCGGCCGUCGUGCUGGACUCGGAUUGAUCGGCUAUCAUCGAGCCACCGGCAAACUGGAAGCUGCGGGAUACUGGGAGAAAUGAAGCUUAUGGCGGCGCCCAGUUAAAACAAAGCUGCUUGCUUUUGUUUCACAUA
rnacentral:misc_RNA from 1 species